GAUGAACGCUGGCGGCGUGCCUAAUACAUGCAAGUCGAGCGAACGGACGAGAAGCUUGCUUCUCUGAUGUUAGCGGCGGACGGGUGAGUAACACGUGGAUAACCUACCUAUAAGACUGGGAUAACUUCGGGAAACCGGAGCUAAUACCGGAUAAUAUUUUGAACCGCAUGGUUCAAAAGUUAAAGACGGUCUUUCUGUCACUUAUAGAUUGAUCCGCGCUGCAUUAGCUAGUUGGUAAGGUAACGGCUUAACAAGGCAACGAUGCAUAGCCGACCUGAGAGGGUGAUCGGCCACACUGGAACUGAGACACGGUCCAGACUCCUACGGGAGGCAGCAGUAGGGAAUCUUACGCAAUGGGCGAGAGCCUGACGGAGCAACGCCGCGUGAGUGAUGAAGGUCUUCGGAUCGUAAAACUCUGUUAGUAGGGAAGAACAUAUGUGUAAGUACCUGUGCACAUCUUGACGGUACCUAAUCAGAAAGCCACGGCUAACUACGUG
rnacentral:rRNA from 1 species